rnacentral:rRNA from 1 species
CCUACGGGAGGCUGCAGUGAGGAAUAUUGGUCAAUGGGCGGAAGCCUGAACCAGCCAAGUAGCGUGCAGGAUGACGGCCCUACGGGUUGUAAACUGCUUUUAUACGGGAAUAACGCGCCUUACGUGUAGGGCUUUGCAUGUACCGUAUGAAUAAGGACCGGCUAAUUCCGUGCCAGCAGCCGCGGUAAUACGGAAGGUCCGGGCGUUAUCCGGAUUUAUUGGGGUUAAAGGGAGCGUAGGCCGCAUGUCAAGCGUGCUGUGAAAUUUUCGGGCUCAACCCGGGCCUUGCAGUGCAUACUGGCUUGCUUGAGUCCGCGGAAAGCAGGCGGAAUUCGUCGUGUAGCGGUGAAAUGCUUAGAUAUGACGAAGAACCCCGAUUGCGAAGGCAGCUUGCUGCAGCGGAACUGACGCUGAUGCUCGAAAGCGCGGGUAUCGAACAGGAUUAGAUACCCGAGUAGUC